rnacentral:rRNA from 1 species
UGAGUUUGAUCAUGGCUCAGGAUGAACGCUAGCUACAGGCUUAACACAUGCAAGUCGAGGGGCAGCAUGAUCUGUGCUUGCACAGAUUGAUGGCGACCGGCGCACGGGUGAGUAACGCGUAUCCAACCUUCCCCUUAGUAGGGCAUAGCCCGGCGAAAGUCGGAUUAAUACUCUAUGUUCUUUCUGGAUGGCAUCUGAUGGAAAGCAAAGGUUCACCGCUAAGGGAUGGGGAUGCGUCUGAUUAGGUUGUUGGCGGGGUAACGGCCCACCAAGCCGACGAUCAGUAGAGGUUCUGAGAGGAAGGUCCCCCACAUUGGUACUGAGACACGGAUCAAACUCC